CCCAAUCCAAGUCAGAAGUCGGGAAGGAAACUCUUUUAAUUGGCCAUGAGCAACCAAACUUCCUCUUCAGUUAGCUGUGCUCCAGUAACUGACACCAGGAACAGUGCCACCACUGUCCCCAAAUCAAAUGUCUCCACUGCCACCCCCACCAGAAAACGGAUUUGACAAAACUCCUCAUGCUCCUUCCUCUGAAUUGAAGUCAUCGCACAGCGUUAUCAGAGGAGGCCACAAAAUCUCAGACCACACUGCCAGUCAGUGGGAAAGCAGAGAUUGAAACUCACUCUUCUGAGCCAAGGACCAGGUGGAUUUCCAUUACCCAGCAGCUGCCUACGGUGGGCAAGUCUGGUGCAGGGUAUUGCCAAGGAUCCCACCAUGGGUACUUGAUUCUCACAGGUCUGCUCGCAGAGGUAAGGGAAAAGGUCUUGGGAAAGAAGUGGAAUGAGCUGAGCUCUGAGGGUUAAGUAGGGUUUGCAUAGGUGAAGAAGAAAGUUAGGAACAUUCCGGGUUGAGGGGAUCUGCCCAUGGGAAGAUACGUUGUCC
rnacentral:lncRNA from 1 species